CCGAUUUUCUGAUCGCCUUGAUAUCUGCAAAAGGGACUUUUUAAGAACAUUUAUUAUAAUUCUAACGAAAAAUCGUAGCUUCUUUAUCAUUGUAUGUAACAGAUUAUCUACAUACUAAAUUCAAUCAGCGUACAGGAGGUUCAUGUCUAUCCUGUUACCGCUACUUAAAUCAGUCGUUAAAUUAUUCUCCCUAUGAAUAUUGAAAUAGUCAGUGUUGAUUUCAAAAAUG
rnacentral:lncRNA from 1 species